GUGCCAGCAGCCGCGGUAAGACGUAGGGCGCGAGCGUUGUCCGGAUUUAUUGGGCGUAAAGAGCUCGUAGGCGGCUUGUCGCGUCGACCGUGAAAACUUGGGGCUUAACCCUAAGCCUGCGGUCGAUACGGGCAGGCUAGAGUUCGGUAGGGGAGACUGGAAUUCCUGGUGUAGCGGUGAAAUGCGCAGAUAUCAGGAGGAACACCGGUGGCGAAGGCGGGUCUCUGGGCCGAUACUGACGCUGAGGAGCGAAAGCGUGGGGAGCGAACAGGAUUAGAUACCCUGGUAGUCC
rnacentral:rRNA from 1 species